UACGAAGGGGGCUAGCGUUGCUCGGAAUUACUGGGCGUAAAGGGCGCGUAGGCGGAUACUUAAGUCGGGGGUGAAAGCCCAGGGCUCAACCCUGGAAUAGCCUUCGAUACUGGGUAUCUUGAGUUCGGGAGAGGUGAGUGGAACUCCGAGUGUAGAGGUGAAAUUCGUAGAUAUUCGGAAGAACACCAGUGGCGAAGGCGACUCACUGGCCCGAUACUGACGCUGAGGCGCGAAAGCGUGGGGAUCAAACAGG
rnacentral:rRNA from 1 species